rnacentral:rRNA from 1 species
UACGGAGGGUGCAAGCGUUAUCCGGAUUCACUGGGUUUAAAGGGUGCGUAGGUGGUCCGUUAAGUUCGUUGUGAAAUCCCUGGGCUCAACCCAGGAAAUGCUUCGAAUACUGGCGGACUUGAGGCUAGUAGGGGUCACUGGAACUGACGGUGGAGCGGUGAAAUGCGUAGAUAUCGUCAGGAACGCCAAUGGUGAAGACAGAUGACUGGGCUAGUUCUGACACUGAGGCACGAAAGCGUGGGGAUCAAACGGG